rnacentral:rRNA from 1 species
AGAGUUUGAUCCUGGCUCAGAUUGAACGCUGGCGGCAUGCCUAACACAUGCAAGUCGAACGGAAACGAUGGGAGCUUGCUCCCAGGCGUCGAGUGGCGGACGGGUGAGUAAUACUUAGGAAUCUACCCAGUAGCGGGGGACAACUCGAGGAAACUCGAGCUAAUACCGCAUACGCCCUACGGGGGAAAGCGGAGGACUCUUCGGAGCUUCGCACUAUUGGAUGAGCCUAAGUCGGAUUAGCUUGUUGGUGAGGUAAAGGCUCACCAAGGCGACGAUCCGUAGCUGGUCUGAGAGGACGAUCAGCCACACUGGGACUGAGACACGGCCCAGACUCCUACGGGAGGCAGCAGUGGGGAAUAUUGGACAAUGGGGGCAACCCUGAUCCAGCAAUGCCGCGUGUGUGAAGAAGGCCUGCGGGUUGUAAAGCACUUUCAGUAGAGAAGAAAAGCUUAGGGAUAAUACCCCUGGGUCUUGACGUUACCUACAGAAGAAGCUCCGGCUAACUCCGUGCCAGCAGCCGCGGUAAUACGGAGGGAGCGAGCGUUAAUCGGAAUUACUGGGCGUAAAGCGCGCGUAGGCGGCUUUGUAAGUCGGAUGUGAAAGCCCUGGGCUCAACCUGGGAAUUGCAUUCGAUACUGCAUGGCUAGAGUAUGGUAGAGGGAAGUGGAAUUUCCGGUGUAGCGGUGAAAUGCGUAGAUA